AUUGAACGCUGGCGGCAGGCCUAACACAUGCAAGUCGAGCGGAGCGACGGACGGGUGAGUCAUGCCUAGGUAUCUGCCUGGUCGUGGGGGAUAACGUCCCGACACGGGCGCUAAUACCGCAUCCUAUCAGAUGAGCCUAGGUCGGCUGAGCUAGUUGGUGGGGUAAAGGCCUACCAAGGCGACGAUCCGUACCUGGUCUGAGAGGAGGAUCAGUCACACUGGAACGGAGACACGGUCCAGACUCCUACGGGAGGCAGCAGUGGGGAAUAUUGGACAAUGGGCGAAAGCCUGAUCCAGCAAUGCCGCGUGUGUGAAGAAGGUCUUCGGAUUGUAAAGCACUUUAAGUUGGGAGGCGUUACCAACAGAAGAAGCACCGGCUAACUUCGUGCCAGCAGCCGCGGUAAUAC
rnacentral:rRNA from 1 species